ACCGGGCGUUAAGUUGCAGGGUAUAGACCCGAAACCCGGUGAUCUAGCCAUGGGCAGGUUGAAGGUUGGGUAACACUAACUGGAGGACCGAACCGACUAAUGUUGAAAAAUUAGCGGAUGACCUGUGGCUGGGGGUGAAAGGCCAAUCAAACCGGGAGAUAGCUGGUUCUCCCCGAAAGCUAUUUAGGUAGCGCCUCGUGAAUUCAUCUCCGGGGGUAGAGCACUGUUUCGGCUAGGGGGCCAUCCCGGCUUACCAACCCGAUGCAAACUGCGAAUACCGGAGAAUGUUAUCACGGGAGACACACGGCGGGUGCUAACGUCCGUCGUGAAGAGGGAAACAACCCAGACCGCCAGCUAAGGUCCCAAAGUCAUGGUUAAGUGGGAAACGAUGUGGGAAGGCCCAGACAGCCAGGAUGUUGGCUUAGAAGCAGCCAUCAUUUAAAGAAAGCGUAAUAGCUCACUGGUCGAGUCGGCCUGCGCGGAAGAUGUAACGGGGCUAAACCAUGCACCGAAGCUGCGGCAGCGACACUCAGGUGUUGUUGGGUAGGGGAGCGUUCUGUAAGCCUGUGAAGGUGGCCUGUGAGGGUU
rnacentral:rRNA from 1 species